rnacentral:rRNA from 1 species
AAACCAACAGGGAUUGCCUUAGUAACGGCGAGUGAACAGGCAAGAGCUCAGAUUUGAAAGCCUUUUUGGCAUUGUAUUCUGAAGUCAGUUUCCUGAGUAUCGGUGUUUAAGUCUUCUGGAAAGGAGCGCCAUGGAGGGUGAUAGCCCCGUACGGCACCUCACUCAUUGUAGGAUUCUGACGUGGAGUCGAGUUGUUUGGGAAUGCAGCUCAAAAGGGUGGUAUGCUCCAUCUAAAGCUAAAUAUCUGUGAGAGACCGAUAGCGAACAAGUACUGUGAAGGAAAGAUGAAAAGAACUUUGAAAAGAGAGUGAAAAAGUACGUGAAAUUGUUGAAAUGGAAGGAUAUGCCGCUAACAAUGUAGAGCCGUGUUUGGGGGGAAGACAAAAGCUGAAGAAUGUAUCUCUUUUAGGGAAUUAUAACUUCAGUCAAUAUUCCCAUCCGGGCGCGAGGACCUCAGGCUCUACUAAAUGGUGGUCUAUCAC